rnacentral:lncRNA from 1 species
AUGUACAGAGCCAAAGCAAGACAGGGAAGGUGGAACAACUUGGAUGAACUUCUUGAACAACUGGAUGCCCAGACCACAGAUCUAACUACUCAUAGAAGGUCUGCUGUUCUUCGUGGUCUUCCCCUGUACUUGAGAGAACCAGCUUCAAUUUCAAAGACUAUUAAGGAUACUGAGGCACUGGGGCUACACACAAACGCCAUGAAAAUGGGGAUCCUGGAAGUGACUGACAGUUCUACCAACUCAGGACCAUAUCCCACAGUGGUCAAUGUGGCUGUAGUACUGGAGGAGGAAGUUGUCAUGGACAAUCUGGGAGACUUCACAAAUGCCCUCAUGAUGCUUGUUUUGGCACUGUUUGAAUACUUGUGUAAUAUUUUACUUGAGCCUAACAGGCAAGUUCAUAUGUAUUUAAAUAAAUACAUAAAAUGUUCUUUAUCAAAGCAUAGUGUGUAA